CAAUAAUUACCGAUAUCAACUGAUAUGAAACGCUUAUGUCAAGUUCAUCCAGAUGUGGAGCGUCUCUGUAAACCUGUGAACUCUGACCCGAUAACGAGGUUCUGGAUGAAACCAGAGACGGCUCGGCUCACAUGAAAAACGUUUUCCAUCCGGCUCUUCGUCCUCCUCCUCUUCCUCCUCAGCUGCAGUGAGUUCCCGGUGCGGCCAGCAGGGGGCGCACGGCGGCAGCGGCAUCAGGGCGUGACCGGGAGGAAGAGGAGCAGCAGUGAAGGACACGCUGCUGCAUCCAGAGGAGGCACGACGGGGAAAGCUUCUGCUUCUGCUGGUUCUGAUCAACACUUCUCCAGAUUUUAUCUGGACUUCUUCACUCCAGAACCAGAACAUUGUUUAAUUAGCAGAAUUAUAUUUAUAAAUUUAUCAAAUUAGACGCAGAAAAACUCAAUCAGAAAUAAUCUGCUGAAAGAAGUGAAGCUGAAUUUAUUUCUAUCUUUUGUCUCUUCCACCUAUCAGAGGAGGCGCCGGUCCAGGAGGGAAACUGUCGCCAUAGCAACGCCCUCCAGCUCCUCCCGGAGGCCUGUUGAGCUUCUUUAGUCUCCCCAAAGUUAAAUGUUCCCAAACAGUUAAAUGUGUCACUUCCUCAAGCGAGAGAACAGAUCAGCAACCUUCUUUCAGCCAGCUGACUGGCAGUGUGCAGCACCAGGUGUGGGAGGGGCAGCUUUCAAUCAGCUGGAGAAAGUUCUGGUAACUAGAACACUGAACCAUAAGAAGGGCGUGAUGGGUCGUUGGCACAUUCUGCUAAUCGUGAUGCUAGUUUUUCUUUAGCUUUAGCUAACUAGCUAAAAUUUCCAGAUAAAUUUCUGUUUGUAAACAUUCAGUUGAAUAAAGUUUAAUGUCUGGGUCGAAGUUUUGACUGUUCAGAAUUUUUCGUAGUUACAUGUUUACAUUCAUGCUCUUAUUUUGAAAAAGCAGCAGUUCCAUUUCCUCUUCUCACGGGAAAUGCAGAGAGGUUAAAUAAAAAAUCUAAUGAUGUUUCUUCUGUACCCAGAAUGCAUUGCAGUUCUUCUAGAAGCUGAUGUGCAACGUGUUUUCUGACUGGUCAGUUAGCUAAAACCAGUAACAAUAAAACAGAAACCAUGAGAGAAAGAGCUGUU